UGAGGAAUAUUGGACAAUGGGUGGAAGCCUGAUCCAGCCAUCCCGCGUGAAGGAUGACGGUCCUAGGGAUUGUAAACUUCUUUUGUACAGGGAUAAACCUGCCCUCGUGAGGGCAGCUGAAGGUACUGUACGAAUAAGCACCGGCUAACUCCGUGCCAGCAGCCGCGGUAAUACGGAGGGUGCGAGCGUUAUCCGGAUUUAUUGGGUUUAAAGGGUCCGUAGGCGGGCCUGUAAGUCAGUGGUGAAAUCUCAUAGCUUAACUAUGAAACUGCCAUUGAUACUGCAGGCCUUGAGUAAAUUUGAAGUGGCUGGAAUAAGUAGUGUAGCGGUGAAAUGCAUAGAUAUUACUUAGAACACCGAUUGCGAAGGCAGGUCACUAAGAUUUAACUGAUGCUGAUGGACGAAAGCGUGGGGAGCGAACA
rnacentral:rRNA from 1 species